rnacentral:rRNA from 1 species
GACGAACGCUGGCGGCGUGCUUAACACAUGCAAGUCGAACGGAAAGGCCCUGCUUUUGUGGGGUGCUCGAGUGGCGAACGGGUGAGUAACACGUGAGUAACCUGCCCUUGACUUUGGGAUAACUUCAGGAAACUGGGGCUAAUACCGGAUAGGAGCUCCUGCUGCAUGGUGGGGGUUGGAAAGUUUCGGCGGUUGGGGAUGGACUCGCGGCUUAUCAGCUUGUUGGUGGGGUAGUGGCUUACCAAGGCUUUGACGGGUAGCCGGCCUGAGAGGGUGACCGGCCACAUUGGGACUGAGAUACGGCCCAGACUCCUACGGGAGGCAGCAGUGGGGAAUAUUGCAAAAUGGGCGGAAGCCUGAUGCAGCAACGCCGCGUGCGGGAUGACGGCUUUCGGGUUGUAAACCGCUUUCGCCUGUGACGAAGCGUGAGUGACGGUAAUGGGUAAAGAAGCACCGGCUAACUACGUG